rnacentral:rRNA from 1 species
CCUACGGGGGGCUGCAGUGAGGGAUAUUGGUCAAUGGCCGUAAGGCUGAACCAGCCAAGUCGCGUGAAGGAAGAAGGAUCUCUGGUUUGUAAACUUCUUUUAUAGGGGAAUAAAGGUAUCCACGUGUGGAUAUUUGCAUGUACCCUAUGAAUAAGCAUCGGCUAACUCCGGGCCAGCAGCCGCGGUAAUACGGAGGAUGCGAGCGUUAUCCGGAUUUAGUGGGUUUAAAGGGUGCGUAGGUGGUUUUGUAAGUCAGCGGUGAAAGUUGGUGGCUCAAACAUAAAAUUGCCGUUGAAACUGGAGGACUUGAGUGUGUUAGAGGUAGGCGGAAUGCGUGGUGUAGCGGUGAAAUGCAUAGAUAUCACGCAGAACUCCGAUGGCGAAGGCAGCUUACUAGGCCAUAACUGACACUGAAGCACGAAAGCGUGGGGAUCAAACAGGAUUAGAUACCCGGGUAGUC